rnacentral:misc_RNA from 1 species
UCGAAACCUGCAUAGCAGAAACACCAGUGAACAUGUUUUCCUAUUGCAUGGGGGAGGCGUGAUGGCUUGCCAGCUCCCUUCCCUGAAUGUCACGUGGCUUUCAAUUGUGAUUGUUGCGUGGCACAUUAACCAACCCCCGGCGCGUUAUGCGUCAAGGAAUACAAUCUUGAGUUUGCCCAUCCGUGGCCGGGUUUCCGGCGUAUGGGUGUGGCACCAAUGUAAGUCAUAAAAUGA